AUUGAACGCUGGCGACGUGCUUAACACAUGCAAGUCGUGCGAGAAAGGAGACUUCGGUCUCUGAGUAGAGCGGCGCACGGGUGAGUAACGCGUGGAUGAUCUACCCUCGAGUACGGGAUAACGGUGCGAAAGCGCCGCUAAUACCGCAUAUCAAUCCAUUUCAUCAUGGGUUCAAAGCAGGCCUCUGUAUGUAAGCUUGCGCUUGAGGAUGAGUCCGCGUCCCAUUAGCUUGUUGGCGGGGUAACGGCCCACCAAGGCAACGAUGGGUAGCUGGUCUGAGAGGAUGAACAGCCACACUGGAACUGAAACACGGUCCAGACUCCUACGGGAGGCAGCAGUGGGGAAUAUUGCGCAAUGGGGGAAACCCUGACGCAGCGACGUCGUGUGAGGGAAGAAGGCCUUCGGGUCGUAAACCUCUGUCAGAAGGGAAGAAACGUCAGGAGUCGAAUAGGCUCUUGGCCUGACGGUACCUUCAGAGGAAGCGCCGGCUAACUCCGUGCCAGCAGCCGCGGUAA
rnacentral:rRNA from 1 species